rnacentral:rRNA from 1 species
CAGUCGCCGCGGUAAUACGAAGGGUGCAAGCGUUAAUCGGAAUUACUGGGCGUAAAGCGUGCGUAGGCGGUUUGUUAAGUCUGUUGUGAAAUCCCCGGGCUCAACCUGGGAAUGGCAAUGGAUACUGGCAAGCUAGAGUGUGUCAGAGGAUGGUGGAAUUCCCGGUGUAGCGGUGAAAUGCAUAGAGGUCGGGAGGAACAUCAGUGGCGAAGGCGGCCAUCUGGGACAACACUGACGCUGAGGCACGAAAGCGUGGGGAGCAAACAGGAUUAGAUACCCCAGUAGUCCCUGUCUCUUAUAU